rnacentral:rRNA from 1 species
UACGUAGGUGUCAAGCGUUGUCCGGAUUUAUUGGGCGUAAAGAGCGUGUAGGCGGCUAGAUAGGUCCGUUGUGAAAACUCGAGGCUCAACCUCGAGACGUCGAUGGAAACCAUCUGGCUAGAGUCCGGAAGAGGAGAGUGGAAUUCCUGGUGUAGCGGUGAAAUGCGCAGAUAUCAGGAAGAACAUCCGUGGCGAAGGCGGCUCUCUGGUACGUGACUGACGCUGAGGCGCGACAGCGUGGGGAGCAAACAGG